GAUCCACACAGCAACAGGUGCUCUCUCUCUUCGCACAUCUCUUUCUAUGGUUCCCUCCAAUUAAUGCAAAUAACCAGGAGCAACGUGUUGAUGGUGAUGAUGAUAAAGAUAAUGAAAUAUUGAAGGUAGGAAGUAUUUCAUGAAAGUAGCCUUGUCUUAGGGACAAGGCACCUCAAGUAACAAGAUUCCGGGACAUAUUCAGAUUAUUUUGAUGCCAUUAUAUUAAACAUUUGCGAAGAGAAACCAUGCCAUGCACAAAAAAUUCAGCACAACUGUCAGAUUUUCAAAGAGGUCAUAUUGUUGUGCAAUCUGAUGCUGGUCUUAGCCAGCGAAAAAUUGCCGAAAAUCUUCAAAUUCCUCUUGUUACUGUUAAUAGAAUUAUAGUGCAAUUCAAAAGCCAAGGAAAAGAAUCAACAGAUUCUCAUCCCGGCCGACCUUGGCCCUCAGAAAGGAAGCUUCACUGCUUGAAGAGAAUUGUGGAAAACAGACCCCGUUUGAAGGCUUCUGACAUUGCAAAACAGCUAGAAGUUAGUCCAAGAAUGUGUGCUACAUAUCUGCAUAAGCUUGGGUAUUAUGGACGAGCAGCUAGAAGAAAACCUCUCCUUCAACCAAUUAAUAUCAAAUAAAAGAUUU